ensembl:misc_RNA Telomerase-vert Vertebrate telomerase RNA
UCUCGCGGGGUGUUCUACCUAACCCUAAUUAGAGGCUGCCUCGUGUACUUAACGUAUGCUGUUUUGUUGUUUCUGGCUUUCAGCAGACUACAUGAGGCGUUGGGCGUGAAGCUUGAAAAUAUCCGUACAAAAAAAGCCAGAAAAGACUCCCCGUCGCGCUCAGUUCCCUGCUGGAAACGCCGCGGUCAGCUCGGCUGCCGCGAAGAGUUCGUCUCUGUUGUUUCGGGGAUUGUCAACAGCUGAGCAGAUAAAACUGAGCAAGGCAAUCCUGCCGAACCUCAUGUGGUCCGGUUCGGUAUCCUACGCUCAGACAAAU